rnacentral:lncRNA from 1 species
ACUAUAUACACCGACUCGGUAUAAUUCCACUUAAAUAUUCCACUUUUAUUUGAGUGUAUAUGGGAUCACAGUAUUCAUUCUUCAAUUAUAACAAAAGAGGAUCAAUGUACAGAGUAUAAUUAUGGCAAAUAAUGUACCCUAAAAUCUUCAAACGAAAGAAUUAAAAUCCAUUUAUGCAAGUAUGCCACUACAACCCACCUCUAUUUUGAUUGCUAUAAUGCUAUGCGUACACAUAUUCCACAUUACUUUGAAAUGCCAUUCUAUGCCAGACGGUUUUGAACCAAAAAAAAAAUCAUAUACAUUACCGCCAGAAAAUACAUUUUCAAGUUGUAAAAUGAAGCAAUGUUCUUAUUACAUGAUUUAAAUACUUAGUAAGUUCGAGUAGAAAUAAUCACAAAUAUAAAACGAAGUUCAAUUCUGUAUCAUAUUUAAAACUCUCACGUGCCGGUAGUUUAUACCUUUGGGUAAACUUAGAGGUACUAAACUUAACGAGAAGCGUAAUACAAAGCUGAAAUUAUCACAUUUCGAAAGUUGCUCAGAGAAUGCCCACUUCAUUUCUCUCAAGAAGUUUUGUUACUCAAUAAAAAGUUAGCAUUGGAAACGGAGUGUGUUAUCAUGUGAGCGAAGUUGCCCAUGGUCUCCUCUACAGGCUUUUUAAUUUCUCAAAAAGAUGGGGGACGGAGGUUCCACGACUUUCCAUCAGAAAUAAUCCAGGAAAUUUCCAACGGGUUUUACUAACUCCAGUGGAACAAAGCAUGCUUCAUUUUUUUUUACGGCAACAUAAUCUAAUUUCUGUCACUCUAACUCGUUUACAGCAACACCAGACUCAACAUUUUUCGAACUUUCUCGGACGGAAUUUCCGGUGCCAGUUUUGUUUGUAGUUUUUAUAAUACGGUGAACUCUCCUCGUUAAAAACCAAUCUGAUUUAAAGGGAAAGAAAUACAGCUUUGUGCACAGAACACACACAAAAAAGAGCCCAACAUUUUGUACGGACAAUUCUGCACGAUUCACAAGAGUCCUGAAGUAAAAUGAUGCUUUUUACAUAUUGCUGCAGUAUCUCGCUCAACACAAAAAAAGAUAGUGCUUCAAACCGAGUGCAUUGUAUCUAACUUCCACUAAUUACACAGAAUAAAACAACUCCUGGCUUUCUAUGAUUAUCGUUGUAAAUGUGUGUCCAGAUGGCAUGGGCAUUUCUAGGGUUUCAAUUUCAAAAGAAACUAAACUCCACACGCACACUACCGGAAUGGACCGAUCCAGUAAGCUCCGCCCAGUGCACACGUGGGCAAAUUAACACGUGCUCCUCUCCAAUGCCACGCUGCAUUUUCCUUCCGCGCGCAUCAUACGCGCGUGCACGCAUGUCGGACUUUAGUGCACGCGCGUCAGACAUAAAUCACGGCUGUGAUUGGUCAGAACACCAUGGGGCGGUGCUUACUGGAUCGGUCCAUUUAUGAACUAUUACAGUAAGUGGAUAGUCUUGCAUAUAGGCCUUCUGUACAUUCAAUAUUACAUUACAGAUCACAUAAAACGGUAUGCAUAUAAUUAUUUCAUCGAAGUUUACAGUUUCAAAUUUCAUUACAGACAAACUUCCAUUCCUCGACACACAACACACAACCACACCAGUUUUUUUCUCGGUAUUAUUACACCCUACAACUUUGGACAUUAGAUAUAGUUUUGCUGAUGAUUUUUUUUUCUGUACAAGUUACAGCAAAUUUCGCUGGUACCUGGCGAACUCUACUUGGGAAUUCUCCUUUGUGUGAAUAGUAUUAACAAUUAACUACUGUAUCAGUUGAACUAGCCCCACAAAUAAAUGUGGCUCAAAAACCGAUAUUCCUCCGUUUGUGAGCCACACAGUGGUCCUGUGCUAUUUAUGGGGAAAAGUUGAUUUUGAGGAAAUCCAAUUUCAGUUCUAUUUUUUUCACUUGAUAUUCACCAUGGAAGAUACUUGCCUGCUUAUUAGCCAGCAAAAAUAAAAUUCUGUUUCGGUAGUUGUUUAGUUAUCCUGUAAUUUUAUGGCAAAAUUUACAGUGAGUUUGUCCAAAAAAGAGUGCAGUAACUUUCUCUGGGUCACAGGUCAUGUACACUUGACCUUUUAAUUUUCCCUGGUUAUUAAUGAUGUAAGUAUCUUCCAUAUUGACUAUGAAGUAAAAACAAAAAUAGUCCCGAUUUCAAUUUCCUUAAAAUCAACUUUCCCACAAAUAGCAUAUGACCACUAUGUAGCUCACAAUAUGGAGGAAGUCCAGUAUUUGAGCGCCAUUUAUGGGCUACAGUCGGGCCAGGUCACAUUUCUUCAAGGGAUUUUGAUUUUAAGAUGGACAAAUGUAUCUUCUAACAGUCACAAUGGUUUACUAUUGAGCGAACACAACCGAAACAACUGGUACUGCUGCUACUCGCAAUCACUGACUUCCAAGCAGUGAAAUGGCCGGGAACCAGCUAAACUUUACAGUACUUGAAAUCUAACGACUGCCAACAAUAUGUAAUAAAUCAAGUCUCUUAUUAUCGUCGGAUAUGUAACAUUUACAGGAAAAAAACCCGACAAAUUUGCUUGCAUAUCACUGACUUCUUCCACUUAUUCUUGCUUGGUUUAAAUAACCAGAACGGAUAAAUUAUAGUAGUCUUUGACUUGCCACGAAAUGUUCAUGUAGUCCAGAGAAGAUAAAAUUCAAAUUAGACUUGUUUCACAACUUUUUUUGGUAACUUACACUAUUUCCUUGACCAUUAAAACGAGCAUCAUCUACCCAUCAAUUUUGAAACCUCACUCGGUUUUGACAUCCUGAUGAAUAUGGACAUUACUUAGGUGAUCCAACAACAGCGAGAUACUAAUUUUUUAUUUGUGCGAGACUUUUUAAAUGCCUGUAACUCGAAAAGUAGCCCUAGCAACCUUGGGCACUUCUUGCUAGAUUGCUUGACCAACAAUAGUCUGGAAAAUAUUAAAACAUUUUUUUCUUAAAUAUGUGCAGUGGCUUUCUAUUGCACACACGGAAUCGGACACAAAAUGGCUUCAAAGUGCCGAGCACAAGUUUUUCAAACCAUCACCACAAUGCUACUUUAAAAGUGCAAUUCAUAAAAUUUGAGUAUUAAUCCAUUGAAGAGUUUUUUAAACUUGUCCCGAGGAAAAUACUUUUGAGCCACGCUUUGCUAGGCAAUGAAAUGGAAACAAACAAGUUUUCCCACCAGGCAUUUGAAACUAAGCCCAGACGCAAUAAGCCAGUUCGGUAUCUCGAUGAAGUAGUCCAGGUCAAAGGUCAUUCAAGAUAAACUCACUGACGCGAUGUAACGCAAACACCCAUUCUGCUCGUAAUUAACGCGCAAGUGUUGUGCAACCGUCACUUUGCGAGUUUAAGCGCCUUUGAUGGGCGUUCGAUUAUCACAAAUGACAUGUGACCUAUAUUAUCAUGCACAGUUGAAAUACGAAACUGGCUUAUUGCAAUAUGUUAUUACUGGUGUCAUAUUAAUGAAAAGUUCUUCAGUCCCUUUUAAAUAUUGACUCAUAUUCGAGCGAUUCAAAGUACAGGCAAAUGUUGACCUAGAUGUGAAAAUUGCCACACAUAUGUAAAAAAAAAAAACGCUGAAAAUCAUGUAAAGUUGGUAAGAAGCUGUUUGGUAAGAAGCUGUGAAAGCCAGAAAAUGCAUAGACGUCGUGCAAUACCAAACUAAUUGUCAUCAAAAUUAUAAACUAAUAAUCAAUCCUUGUAGG